rnacentral:rRNA from 1 species
CCAGGUCAAGACAUGGGCGUGAUUGACAGGCUAAUGACUUUUCUCGAUUCCAUGGAUGGUGGUGCAUGGUCGCACUUAGUUGGUGCAGUGAUUUGUCAGGUUUAUUCCGGUAACGAACGAGACCUCGGCCUUGUAAAUAGCUAUGCUGCUUACAGGGACAUUGGCGGCUGCGCCAAGGAAGCUCGAGGCAAUUGCAGAUCUGGAAUGCCCUUAGAUGUCCUGGGUCGCACGCGUGCUACAAUGACGCCACGAACGAGCUUGCGUGAUGAAAGUUACGCAUAAUCAGCAGUCGGCGUCUUAAGGGAUAGUCUCUUGUAACUGUGGGACUCCAACUAGGAAUGUCUCGUAAGCACAAGUCAACAUCUUGUGUUGAUUACGUCCCUCAAUAACACCCGCCCUCGCUCCUACCGAUCCCUGUUUUUUUCAAUUUGAUGGACGUACGGAAGUCAAAUAAACCUGAGCACUAGCGAAGAGAGUGUGCAGGGGGAAAAAGGGGAUAU